AUUAGACAAGCAUGGGGCCAACAGAUUGAUCUUCAUGAGGCACGUUUUCUAGCUCUAACUGCUGCAGAGCAUUGGUUACUUUUAUCACAAUAUGACGAAUAUGCUGCGGCAAACACUGGAGCUGUUGCCUUCUUCCGCUCCAUUGCUCUCAUUUUGAUGCUAAUCCUUCUAAUUCACCAUGUUGUGAUGAUCACAAAGGGCUCUGGCUUGGUGCAGGAAGCAUCAACUUACUUAAAUGUUUCUGUUCUUCAGUUGGCUGGCUUUGUUCUACCAUGCUAUGUCAUAGCCUGCUCAUGUUACAUUAUACAUAGCAGAAAGAGGAGACAGGGAUGAUAAACCAUUGCUGAUUUCAACUCAACAACAGCCAAGCUAUUCUGUAUAUUGUAUUGUCUUGAAGUUGUAUUUAGAUCAAGAUUGCCAAGAAUUGGCCCAAAAGCAUAUGCCUGAAAGCCAGUCGAUAAAGUUGUAUUUAUCCACAAAUGGAAUCUUCUUUGUGUGUGGCACAAAAUUCUACAUACAAAUUAUGCUUCACUUUUUAAACCAUUUUUCAAAAGCGUGCCAACAUGAUUUGGAAAGGCCCAAAAACUAGUCGAUAAGUUAGUUUGUAUGUUACAACCAAAAAAAGAAAAGUUCAUGGUGUAUAUACAUACAGGAGAGAGAGUUCAGGUCUGAGACCUGUAGGGAUAUUUUUGGAUCAGUUGGAAAAGAGAAGCUUUAAACUCAGGAAUGUGUUUCUGUUAUGUCAUCUGGUUCUGCAAAUGUUCCAUGUGGAAAUCAUGACGGAUAUCCAUGACUUCAAUAUUUCAUAAUUUCUUCCUGUUUCCAUAUAUAUAUAUAUUUUUUGAAUAAGUGGGGGAGGUAGAGAGGAAAGGGGGUGGGGAUCUCCAUUUGGUUUCUAGGUCCUACAUCUGGAAUGCUUGGCAAGUCCUUUGGUAGUAUUUAUUCAACUGUGAGACUCAAUCUUGUACACUGUUCUACAAUGAAAUCCAUAGUUGUUGAAUGGACCACCCUCAUUACCGUACUAGUGACGGUAAUGAUUUAUGAAGCAUUACCAUGAUGAAUGAUUUAUGAAGCCACCACCACUUGGAUAAUUGGAUGGUAUGUAGUGCAGACUGCAGCGUUACCAUGAUGAAUGAUUUAUGAAGCAUCUGUC